rnacentral:rRNA from 1 species
CCUACGGGUGGCAGCAGUGGGGAAUAUUGCGCAAUGGGCGAAAGCCUGACGCAGCGACGCCGCGUGAGGGAUGAAGGUCUUCGGAUCGGAAACCUCUGUCAGCAGGGAAGAACGGUCACUGUGCUAAUCAGCAGUGAAUUGACGGUACCUGCAAAGGAAGCACCGGCCAACUCCGUGCCAGCAGCUGCGGGAAUACGGAGGGUGCGAGCGUUAAUCGGAAUUACUGGGCGGAAGGCGAUCGUAGGCGGUAUGUCAAGUCAAGGGUGAAGUCCCCGCGCUCAACGUGGGAACUGCCUUUCAAACUGGGGAGCUGGAGUGGGUGGGAGGAUAGUGGAAUUCCAGGUGUAGGGGUGAAAUCCGUAGAUAUCAGGAGGAACACCAGUGGCGAAGGCGACUAUCUGGCACAUUACUGACGCUGAGGAGCGAAGGCGUGGGUAGCGAACAGGAUUAGAUACCCGAGUAGUC